GUAGGGGGCAAGCGUUAUCCGGAUUUACUGGGUGUAAAGGGAGCGUAGACGGCGGGGCAAGUCUGGAGUGAAAGGCCGGGGCCCAACCCCGGGACCGCUCUGGAAACUGCCCGGCUGGAGUGCGGGAGAGGUAAGCGGAAUUCCUAGUGUAGCGGUGAAAUGCGUAGAUAUUAGGAGGAACACCAGCGGCGAAGGCGGCUUACUGGACCGUGACUGACGUUGAGGCUCGAAAGCGUGGGGAGCAAA
rnacentral:rRNA from 1 species